rnacentral:lncRNA from 1 species
GUGGCGAGUGUGGAGUUGCGCCUUUGCGAACGGAGGUUUCAAGCCUACUUAUGGUCUCAGGAGAGCUCCGGAGAAGGGUCUUGGGGACUCCCGGUCUUUCGUGGGCCGACGCCAGCCUCCGAAGACUGAAGGUCGCAGAGCCGGGCUGCUUGGGAAGCGAACCUGUCUCUCCCAGGGUGAAGUUGCUGGUGCUGCUCGCGCCCGAGGGAAGCUAGGUUCCCUUCAGGGAUCCUUAUGUCUCUUCUGAACCCACCUGGCAUUGCUUCGGCUCUCUCUUAGCCGUCAUUUCGGCCGCUUUCUUUCUUCUUCUUAAAAAGCCAAAACCUUUCGUCUCGACGUGGUCUUGGAGCCAAACUUGAAGAAUGAUUCGUGAAUCCGGAAUGGACGACAGUGUCAUUACGACAUAAUUUUGACCAUGGAUACUUAUGAUUCUCAAGGACCAACUUCUAGACGAAGGACCUCAAAUCUUAAGGACUACUUUGUGAGUGCCACCCCUCUGCAGAAACGACUGAAGUUGGCCAGGAGACAGAGUUCAGUUUUUCCCAGUCCAUCUCGAAGGAAAAUUCCCCAGUGUUCACAGUUGCAGGAAGAUAUCGAUCCUCAGAAGGUUGCAUUUCUCCUCCACAAACAGUGGACUGUAUAUAGUUUAACUCCCCUGUAUAAAUUCUCCUAUUCUAAUCUCAAAGACUAUUCUAGACUUCUAAGUGCAUUUAUUGCUGCCGAAAAGCAAAAAGGACUUGCUGUGGAAGUGGGAGAAGACUUCAAUAUCAAAGUGAUUUUCUCUACUCU